AGUCGACGAAGCACUUGAUUUGAUUCUUCGGAUGAAGAUCCUGGCGACUGAGUGGCGGACGGGUGAGUAACGCGUGGGUAACCUGCCUCAUACAGGGGGAUAACAGUUAGAAAUGACUGCUAAUACCGCAUAAGACCACAGCACCGCAUGGUGCAGGGGUAAAAACUCCGGUGGUAUGAGAUGGACCCGCGUCUGAUUAGGUAGUUGGUGGGGUAACGGCCUACCAAGCCGACGAUCAGUAGCCGACCUGAGAGGGUGACCGGCCACAUUGGGACUGAGACACGGCCCAAACUCCUACGGGAGGCAGCAGUGGGGAAUAUUGCACAAUGGGGGAAACCCUGAUGCAGCGACGCCGCGUGAGCGAUGAAGUAUUUCGGUAUGUAAAGCUCUAUCAGCAGGGAAGAAAAUGACGGUACCUGACUAAGAAGCACCGGCUAAAUACGUGCCAGCAGCCGCGGUAAUACGUAUGGUGCAAGCGUUAUCCGGAUUUACUGGGUGUAAAGGGGGCGUAGACGGAGUGGCAAGUCUGAUGUGAAAACCCGGGGCUCAACCCCGGGACUGCAUUGGAAACUGUCAAUCUGGAGUACCGGAGAGGUAAGCGGAAUUCCUAGUGUAGCGGUGAAAUGCGUAGAUAUUAGGAGGAACACCUGUGGCGAAGGCGGCUUACUGGACGGUAACUGACGUUGAGGCUCGAAAGCGUGGGGAGCAAACAGGAUUAGAUACCCUGGUAGUCCACGCCGUANACGAUGACUACUAGGUNUCGGGCAGCAAAGCUGUUCGGUGCCGCAGCAAACGCAAUAAGUAG
rnacentral:rRNA from 1 species